CGGUGAGCCACAGCCACCCCCGCCUCUGCAGGAGACCCUCCAACACUAGCAGUUUAGGAAAAAUAAUAAAAUAGGUUACGAGUCCCCAGGACAUACAGUUGAGAACUGUCGGGCAGGAAUGACACAGUCCUCAGACCGGGAAGAGUGGACUCUGGGAUCUUACCACUCCUUAAGUCCUCGUGU